ACGCUCGACACCUACGGGGAGGCAGCAGGUGGGGAAUAUUGCACAAUGGGCGAAAGCCUGAUGCAGCAACGCCGCGUGAGCGAAGAAGGCCUUCGGGUCGUAAAGCUCUGUCCUCAAGGAAGAUAAUGACGGUACUUGAGGAGGAAGCCCCGGCUAACUACGUGCCAGAAGCCGCGGUAAUCUGAGCGGGCUGGCAAGGC
rnacentral:rRNA from 1 species